UAUCUUGUUUCCCUUCAAGACCUUACCAACUGCCCAUUUAGAGUAGUUGACGAGAUAAACCAAGGAAUGGAUCCCAUAAAUGAACGGAAGAUGUUCCAGCAAUUGGUGAGAGCUGCCAGCCAAACCAAUACCCCACAGUGUUUCCUACUGACUCCAAAGUUACUUCCAGAACUGGAAUAUAGUGAGGCCUGUAGUAUACUGAAUAUAAUGAAUGGUCCUUGGAUCGAGCAGCCCUCGAG
rnacentral:misc_RNA from 1 species